UUCACCGAGUUAAACUCGUUCCCACUCCUCUCGAGAUCGCGCCAGAAAAACCCUAACUCUCAUUCAACUGCUUCACCGAAAUCGCCAAUCUGCGAGACAACUAGUACCAACAAGGUGUUCUUCAUGCCGCCGUGGAGUCUAUUGAUGUAUAAACUUGCUCCAUGGAAGUGAUGUUAGAAAGUCAGCAUGGAUUCUGCUCCAAGAAGUCGCACCAGAUAUAAUCUAAUCAAGUUCGCCAUUCAUCGACUUCAAGAGAAAGCAAUUUCUUGGAGUUUGACUGGAGAAGCCCCUCCUUUUCGGUUUGAACAUUUUUUGUCUAGUGAUCAACUUGGUAGCCAAUCGGACCCACCUGUUGAUCAAUCAUGUAGCUUUAAAAUUUUUAGGACUAAAGACUUUGUACGAGAAGCUCAAUCUUUAUUGGAGGUAAAGUCUGUUGAAUGUUGUUUGUGUAAUGUAUCUGAUGAUUCUGAUCCCUUUGUUUAUACUUAAUAGAUGCCAAUGUAGAAAAUCUUGUAUGUUGGGCCCUUCUGGCUCUGCUAAUGCAUUUUCUUUUCUUAUUGUC